rnacentral:rRNA from 1 species
CCUACGGGAGGCAGCAGUCGGGAAUCUUGCACAAUGGGCGAAAGCCUGAUGCAACAACGCCGUGUGAGCGAUGAAGGCCUUAGGGUCGUAAAGCUCUGUUGUUAGGGACGAAGGGCGAAGGGUUAAUAGCCCUUAGCCUGACGGUACCUUUCGAGGAAGCCCCGGCUAACUACGUGCCAGCAGCCGCGGUAAUACGUAGGGGGCGAGCGUUGUCCGGAAUUAUUGGGCGUAAAGGGCGCGUAGGCGGCCUGGUAAGUCUGCUGUGAAACCUUGGGGCUCAACCCCAAGCGUGCAGUGGAUACUGUCAGGCUAGAGGAUGGUAGAGGCCAGUGGAAUUCCCGGUGUAGCGGUGAAAUGCGCAGAUAUCGGGAGGAACACCAGUAGCGAAGGCGGCUGGCUGGGCCAUUCCUGACGCUGAGGCGCGAAAGCUAGGGGAGCGAACAGGAUUAGAUACCCUGGUAGUCCUAGCCGUAAACGAUGAACACUAGGUGUGGGGGGAGUCGAAUCCCUCCGUGCCGAAGCCAACGCGUUAAGUGUUCCGCCUGGGGAGUACGGCCGCAAGGCUAAAACUCAAAUGAAUUGACGGGG